ACCGAGAAAGGAGAAGCGUCUCCAGGGAGUCCUCCCCUCACGAGGGCGCCAGCAGCCCCGAGACGCCCCACGGCCCGGCCUGGCUGCCUCACUCCAGCUGUGCGGGUCCUGCCGAGACACAAGACAACACGGCCCUGGACUAUCCAGGAAAAUUCUCCUGUUCUUAGGAAACACUCUGGCAUGUUCAGAGAUUGCAGUGAAUUAAAAUGUCAGAGAUUCCGUGAGGAGGACAGUUGGGACCCGUCACAAAGUUUAGAGUGAUUUUUAGGAAGGAAUGUCAAACUGUAACAAGAGGGAAGAACAAAGGCCUGCCACUUAAAUUUUUGAAAAUAAGAAGUUGAGGGAAAAC
rnacentral:lncRNA from 10 species